GGCUCUUUGUUUCACCCACAUAAAGAGUCGAGCCUGCCCAGUGAAGAAUUUUAACGGCCGCGGUACUCUGACCGUGCAAAGGUAGCAUAAUCAUUUGCCUUAUAAUUGAAGGCUAGUAUGAAUGGUUUGACGAAAGCAGAUCUGUCUCCUUUUUACUUUUUAGAACUUGACCUUUAGGUGAAGAGGCCUAAAUAUUAUUGAAGGACAAGAAGACCCUGUCGAGCUUAAAAGAGAUGUGCGGAAGUUAAUAUUCCCCUAAAUAAAUAACCCGUUAAGCUUUUUAGUUGGGGCGACUGAGGAACAAAAAAAGCUUCUUAAUCAAAAAAGACUAACAAGUUUAGAUCCAACCAGUUUGAUUUAAGAAAUUAGUUACCGCAGGGAUAACAGCAUAAUCUCCUUUGAGAGACCUAAUCGAAAAGGGGGGUUGUGACCUCGAUGUUGGACUAGAAUAUCCUAAAGAUGCAGAAGUCUUUAAAGGUUGGUCUGUUCGACCAUAAAAAUUCU
rnacentral:rRNA from 1 species